rnacentral:lncRNA from 1 species
CAACCCACUCUCUGUGCUAUGACUUCAUUACUCUUUCCCAGCCCAGCCCUGGGCAAGCCCCUUACGAAGUCUCAGGCUACCUGGAUGACCACCCUUUCUUAUGAUGCUGCAAGGAGGGCAGGUGGGCAGAGCCCCGUGCAUCCUGGGCUCAGGCCAGGGACCCAAGAGCUUGGGAGAAGCUGGUUCUCAGACUGAAGGCCAGAGCCCAGCACCUUGUCACCAUCCCGGGGAGCAUCAUGGCACACAACAACCAGAGCCAAGAGGCUACAGCUAGAGAGUUGACUCCUCUAUUUGGAUUGACAGGCCUCGGAAGUCAAAAUAAGUGGUUUCCUAGACCGGGUCGAGAGCAAGUCUCUAUUGGUCCCAACUGAGUUUUUUCAGCUGGUUUUUCAACCAAACAGCACCUCAUCUCCCAGUGAGGGGAAGGGAAGGCUGGGCUGAGAGCAGCAAGGCUGCUCAUCUCACCUCUCCCCACCCAGCCAUGCCAGCCGCCUCACCUGGUGGGGAGAGGUGGGCCUCACCUGGGUCCCCUGGCAGUGCUCUGUGAAGGGUCUUGACAUUGCACUGUAAUAAUAAAGGUGUGUGUGAAGUAU